UACGGAGGGUGCAAGCAUUGAUCGGAAUUACUGGGCGUAAAGGGCGCGCAGGCGGUCGGGAAAGUCAGAUGUGAAAUUCCGGAGCUCAACUCCGGAGCUGCAUUUGAAACUUCCUGACUAGAGUUCAGUUAGGGAAAACGGAAUUCCACGUGUAGCGGUGAAAUGCGUAGAUAUGUGGAAGAACACCGGUGGUGAAGACGGUUUUCUGGGCUGAUACUGACGCUGAGGCGCGAAAGCAAGGGGAGCAAAC
rnacentral:rRNA from 1 species